UACGUAGGGGGCAAGCGUUAUCCGGAUUUACUGGGUGUAAAGGGAGCGUAGACGGCCAGACAAGUCUGAAGUGAAAAUCCAGCGCUUAACGUUGGAAGUGCUUUGGAAACUGCCGGGCUGGAGUGCAGGAGGGGCAGGCGGAAUUCCUAGUGUAGCGGUGAAAUGCGUAGAUAUUAGGAGGAACACCAGUGGCGAAGGCGGCCUGCUGGACUGCAACUGACGUUGAGGCUCGAAGGCGUGGGGAGCGAACAGG
rnacentral:rRNA from 1 species